rnacentral:rRNA from 1 species
UACGUAGGGGGCGAGCGUUGUCCGGAUUCAUUGGGCGUAAAGAGCUCGUAGGCGGUUUGGUAAGUCGGGUGUGAAAACCCCAGGCUCAACCUGGGGACGCCACCUGAUACUGCCAUGACUUGAGUCUGGUAGGGGACCACGGAAUUCCUGGUGUAGCGGUGAAAUGCGCAGAUAUCAGGAGGAACACCGGUGGCGAAGGCGGUGGUCUGGGCCAGUACUGACGCUGAGGAGCGAAAGCGUGGGUAGCAAA